AUACCAAGAAUUGAGUCAUACUAUGGUGAAAAGACAGUUUAAUUUGAUAUAAUACAUAGAGGUAAAAUUUAAGUGUAGUUAUAUAAAUCGAAGGUAGCUUGGGAACUGAAUCUGUGAAAUCCUUGAGGGAAACUGGGAUUAGGUACCCCAUUAUUCUUGGAUGUAAAUGGAGAAAUUUUACCAGGGUACUAUGAACGUCGUAAAUUUAAAACUCAAAGAACUUGGCGGUGUUUUAGACCGCUUAGGGGAACCUGUCUCAUAAUCGACAAUCCACGUUGUACCUGACCUUUUUUUGUUUUCAGUUUGUAUACCGUUGUCGUCAGGUAACUUUUUAGAAAGUAGAAGUUGGCUAUGAAAAGGUGGUUUAAUACGUCAAAUCAAGGUGCAGCUAAUGAAAGGGGGAGGAUGGGUUACAAUUAUAAAGUUAUAAACGGAAGGCGGACUUAAAAGUAAAUUAAAUUAUAAAAAUAAUUUGAAUUAGGCUCUGAAACGUGU
rnacentral:rRNA from 1 species